UACGGGGGGGGCAAGCGUUGUUCGGAAUUACUGGGCGUAAAGGGCGCGUAGGCGGCUCGGUAAGCGUGCGGUGAAAGCCUGGGGCUCAACCCCGGGUCGGCCGUGCGAACUGUCGAGCUGGAGCACUGUAGAGGCAGGCGGAAUUCCGGGUGUAGCGGUGGAAUGCGUAGAGAUCCGGAAGAACACCGGUGGCGAAGGCGGCCUGCUGGGCAGUAGCCGACGCUGAGGCGCGACAGCGUGGGGAGCAAACAGG
rnacentral:rRNA from 1 species